rfam:Treponema sp. OMZ 838, complete genome.
AUUUAAUUGUCGAGUUUGCCAUUCGGCAAACGUCGCAGAUUAUAUGUGCGCUUUUCGCGCACUAAUUGAACACCUUCCAAAGUUUACACUUUGUUCAGUUGUUCAAUUUUAAG